UACGGGGGGUGCAAGCGUUGUUCGGAAUUACUGGGCUUAAAGGGCCCGUAGGUGGCCAACUAAGUCGGACGUGAAAUCCCUCGGCUUAACCGGGGAACUGCGUCUGAUACUGGAUGGCUUGAGUUUGGGAGAGGGAUGCGGAAUUCCAGGUGUAGCGGUGAAAUGCGUAGAUAUCUGGAGGAACACCGGUGGCGAAGGCGGCAUCCUGGACCAACACUGACACUGAGGAGCGAAAGCCAGGGGAGCAAACGGG
rnacentral:rRNA from 1 species